UGAGGCAGGAGAAUUGCUUGAACCCAGGAGGCGGAGGUUGCAGUGAGCCGAGACCGCGCCACUGCACUCCAGCCUGGGUAACAAGAGCGAAACUCCGUCUC
rnacentral:miRNA from 1 species